rnacentral:rRNA from 1 species
GUUUGAUCAUGGCUCAGAACGAACGCUGGCGGCAUGCCUAACACAUGCAAGUCGAACGAAGGCUUCGGCCUUAGUGGCGCACGGGUGCGUAACGCGUGGGAAUCUGCCCUUGGGUUCGGAAUAACUCAGAGAAAUUUGAGCUAAUACCGGAUGAUGACGUAAGUCCAAAGAUUUAUCGCCCAAGGAUGAGCCCGCGUAAGAUUAGCUAGUUGGUGGGGUAAAGGCCUACCAAGGCGACGAUCUUUAGCUGGUCUGAGAGGAUGAUCAGCCACACUGGGACUGAGACACGGCCCAGACUCCUACGGGAGGCAGCAGUGGGGAAUAUUGGACAAUGGGCGAAAGCCUGAUCCAGCAAUGCCGCGUGAAUGAUGAAGGCCUUAGGGUUGUAAAGCUCUUUUACCAGGGAUGAUAAUGACAGUACCUGGAGAAUAAGCUCCGGCUAACUCCGUG